GAUGUUAGGUCUCUGAGAUCAUAGUAAUGCAGUCAGCAAUGAAACCUACCUGGUUAAUUAGAGAAACACAGCUCCAUCAAUGUAAGAGAGAAGUCUGGGCUGCCGAGUGUCUGACGGGACAAAUCCUUCCAACGGCCGCAGCAGGUGCUUCUUCUAGCCCUGUGUUGCAAUGACCUGCAGCUCCUGGGGAUAACUCAGGCACGCUGCUGACGCCAUCAGGAGGCUCAACACCCUCACCCGCUUACGCUACGACCAGCAAAAGCAAACCCCGCAGCUGCCUGCCAGCCGGGAAGAAGGACUGUGUUUCCAUGUUGUGAGUCUCCUCAUUGCAGCCAGAUGAUGAAUUUGCUGCUGGCUUUGUGCGAAACCGAGAAAUACCCAGCGUCCAGCUGAGGGCCCGGGUGGCAACAAAAUCAAGCUGAUGAAUUAAAGAAAUAUGGCCUGGUCAGGAUGCCUGGAGGCCUCAG
ensembl:lncRNA novel transcript